CCUACGUGUGGCUGCAGUAGGGAAUUUUUCACAAUGGGCGAAAGCCUGAUGGAGCAAUGCCGCGUGAAUGAUGAAGGUCUUAUAGAUUGUAAAAUCUUUCUACUUGGGAAGAAAAACUAAAGUAGGAAAUGACUUUAGUCUGACUGUACAAUUUGAAUAAGUAUCGGCUAACUAUGUGCCAGCAGCCGCGGUAAUAGACAGGAUGCAAGCGUUAUCCGGAUUUACUGGGCGUAAAACGGGCGCAGCCGGGUUAACAAGCUUGGUAUGAAUGGCAUUUGUUUAACGAAAGUUUGUAUCGAAAACUGUUAAUCUGGAGUGUAGUAGAGGGUACUGGAAUUCCAUGUGGAGCGGUGGAAUGCGUAGAUAUAUGGAAGAACACCAGUGGCGAAGGCGAGAACUUGGGCUAUCACUGACGCUGAGGCUCGAAAGUGUGGGGAGCAAAUAGGAUUAGAUACCCUUGUAGUC
rnacentral:rRNA from 1 species